CACCUGCCUCCCUGGAGGAAAAUCCAAGGGAAUUGUAGAUGCCUUUGUAGCCUUGUCUGCCUUAUUAGGUUAAAGGACUCCUGGUUUGGCCUUUGCCUGAGGGUAUCCAGUUGCCCUUGCCCAGCAGGAGCCGAGUGAUUUCUUCCCAGCCAAAACUCUGCAGCCCCAAACCCCUGAAAGACCUUAGGACGGCUCCAAAGCUUACAGAAAGCUGGGGAAGUGCACUGGGUGAAUAUUAGGGAAGACUGACAGAGCCAUGAGUUAAUUCAGAUCCUUCCCAACAGAGGAGAAAGAGUUGGACACGUGGAAAACCCCCAGGAGAAACUCACAGAGCCCAGUGCAAGAAGUGCAAAAGAGCCCAGAAGUGCCAGGGGCAAAAUGCGAUGGAUGAUUUCCGAUGCCACUGACUUCCCAAUCUGCUCCCACCCCUGGACAGAAAUUUUGGCUGCCCCAGGGAUGCAGUUGGCAACCUCUCUGCUCCAACACUU